GACGUAGGGCGCGAGCGUUGUCCGGAUUUAUUGGGCGUAAAGAGCUCGUAGGCGGCUUGUCGCGUCGUUCGUGAAAACUUGGGGCUCAACCCCAAGCUUGCGGUCGAUACGGGCAGGCUAGAGUUCGGUAGGGGAGACUGGAAUUCCUGGUGUAGCGGUGAAAUGCGCAGAUAUCAGGAGGAACACCGAUGGCGAAGGCAGGUCUCUGGGCCACUACUGACGCUGAGAAGCGAAAGCAUGGGGAGCGAACAGG
rnacentral:rRNA from 1 species